rnacentral:rRNA from 1 species
UCCUUAGAAAUGUAUGUUUGUACGUAGGCUUUAAUUUAGCAUCGAGAGGGGUACGAACGCACGUCUAAAUAAUCCAGGUAAUUGACGGAUGUAACGCUCAAUCGGCGUAGCAUGUGGCUGUAAUGGGAUACAACGCUAAGAGCCUUACCAAGACUUGACAUGUUAUCGAUCGCCGUAGAGAUACGGUUUCCCCUUUGGGGCGGGUUCACAGGUGGUGCAUGGUUGUCGUCAGCUCGUGUCGUGAGAUGUUGGGUUAAGUCCCGCAACGAGCGCAACCCUCGUUCCAUGUUGCCAGCACGUAAUGGUGGGGACUCAUGGGAGACUGCCGGGGUCAACUCGGAGGAAGGUGAGGACGACGUCAAAUCAUCAUGCCCCUUAUGUCUUGGGCUUCACGCAUGCUACAAUGGCCGGUACAAUGGGUUGCGAUACUGUGAGGUGGAGCUAAUCCCAAAAAGCCGGUCUCAGUUCGGAUUGGGGUCUGCAACUCGACCCCAUGAAGUCGGAGUCGCUAGUAAUCGCAGAUCAGCAACGCUGCGGUGAAUACGUUCCCGGGCCUUGUACACACCGCCCGUCAAGUCACGAAAGUUGGUAACACCCGAAGCCGGUGGCCUAACCCUUGUGGGGGAGCCGUCGAAGGUGACCACAUCUAA